AAAGCAGCACCGUUUCAGUUUGCUGGCAGGAUUUUCCUCUUUUGACCCUGAAACGCCGCCUCUGCAACUCAGCAUCCUUUAUCUCAAAUGUGCAGGAAUUCUUUCAUGUCUAGGCCUGGAAGGGAUUUCAAACAACCAAACAAACAGAUUUGCAGCCAGUCGGAUAAUUAAAGUGGAUCAGCCAAGUUCUGAUUCUCUUUGUACUCUGGGCAAAAAUUUAAGGGAAGGAAAACAAGAAAGGAGGAUGGCUGUGGGGGAGACUAGGCUGUGGACACCGCCUGAAUUCUGUCUCUUUUCCUGCAAAAAUAAUUCUCCAAGGGGAAAGCUUGGUGGUCAGGCCUAGCCUUCACCUGUGAGCAGGCCAAAGGAGCAGGACAGCACAGCCAUCCUUCUCCCUGUUCAUUAUGAAGAUUUCAGAUGAAGACCUACGAACCAGACAUGGACCCUGAAUCCUUGGAGAUCUGCUCACGAGAGAGGCAGAGAUUCCUGUGCGUUUCUUCCUAAUCCAUCGUACUUGUUUUGCUGUUGACCUAACAAAUCUGAUAUUUCUAGAGGUUAUUCUGCCUUCAAAUGCCUCUAUAUUUGCACAUUUCAAGCACUCUCAUUUUUCCCCACAGCUGUCAUCUAAAACAGUCUUGCUGCUGAAGGAGAGUGGGAGGGGAAAAUACAUACGGUAAUAGAAAAUGGCUGCUCCCUUAUGGCAUUUGUGUUUACUUGCCAUGGGAUAGGGAAGAACUCAGUGGUGGUAGCCCGCUCCCCUGGCCCAUGGAGACAAUGCUUGCACCAUUAUUUGAUGUGUGUUCCUGAAGCUUAUGCCAUAGGAAGUCAAGUCUAGUGGUUAGAGCAGGAGGGCUCUGUUCCAGACUAUGCCUUGAACUUGCUGCAUAGCUGUGAGAAAUUCCCUUAAUCUCAUGCUUCUGCAGUAGUGAAAAGAGGAUUAUGCUGUGUUUAGUUACCCAUCUUGUGCAGUGUCAGGCGUCAGGGCACCCAGUAAACUAAUUAGUCCCCAGCUGCCCCUUGUUACCUGCAUGGGCCUACUGCCAAUUGCCUAACAACCCCCAGCUGGCCCCAGUUGCUUGCAUGGGACAAACAGCAGCUCUUUCAAGAUCCAUUAGAUUACUCUGUAGAAUAUACACCUCUAUCUCGCCCUGGGCUUCUGGCUCCUUGCUUCUAGUUCUCUGGAUGCUGCUUGUUGGCUUCCUGGCUUCACCCUUGGUCCUGCCCCCCCAGCUUCUGACUUACUGGCUCUUGACUCUCUCACCCCUGUGCUUCUGGAUCCAUCCCAGACCCCUGUCUUCUGACAACUGGUUUGUGGCUUUAGUUUGGCAAUCGCCCAUUGCCUCUGUCAUGCCCAUGAUAUGGGGUGAGGAGCUGUGAGUCACCAGGUAAAAUAUGUUGAGGUCUGCAGAUGAAAGGAGCUAUGGGUGAGGGGGUGUAAAGUGUCUGUUAGUAGUAUGUCAGUACUCUUCAUCUGUAAUCUCAAAGCACCAUGUUGAGGUAAAUUAGAAUUACUGCCACUGUUUCAAAUGGGGAAAGGAAGCAGAGGAAAAUGAGGGGACUCACUUAAGGUCUUACAGUGGAUCAGGGCAGAAAUAAGAGUAUGACCCACAGCUCUCUGCUCCAUUGGCUACCUGAGAAUCCCCCAAGGAUGCAAGUGCUGCUGAGUAAAGGUGACCCUAUAAAAUGAGAAUAAAGCAUUGGGAAGCUACAGAGCUGUUAGUGCUUGAGUGCCCCGUGGUAACCUAAAAGAGGGACUGGAAGGUGAUCAAUGCAUUGACUGCAUGUAGAGAAUCCACCCACAGGACUGACUCCAGGAUACAAGGCUGAGCUGGGUCCAGCUGGAUCUGUAAAGAGGACUGUAUGGAAAUAUACCUGCCAUGUGCCAUAUUCCCUGUAGUGACAACUCUCCAUCCAUCCAUCUGGGCGUCUAUACCAUGAUCAUCACAGGAGUAGCUGAGCCCAUUACAAAAUGUCACUAUUUUUUCA